GGGGACGGGGCGGCUUACCAUGCAAGUCGAGCGGAGUGAUGGUGCUUGCACUAUCACUUAGCGGCGGACGGGCCAGUAAUGCUUAGGAAUCUGCCUAUUAGUGGGGGACAACAUCUCCUAAGGGAUGCUAAUACCGCAUACGUCCUACGGGAGAAAGCAGGGGAUCACUUGUGACCUUGCGCUAAUAGAUGAGCCUAAGUCGGAUUAGCUAGUUGGUGGGGUAAAGGCCUACCAAGGCGACGAUCUGUAGCGGGUCUGAGAGGAUGAUCCGCCACACUGGGACUGAGACACGGCCCAGACUCCUACGGGAGGCAGCAGUGGGGAAUAUUGGACAAUGGGGGGAACCCUGAUCCAGCCAUGCCGCGUGUGUGAAGAAGGCCUUAUGGGUGUUAAGCCCUUUAAUCGAGGAGGAGGCUCUUUUGGGUAAUACCCUCUAUGAGUGGGCGUUUCUCCCAGAAUAAAAGCCGGGGGAAGCUGUGCCCCCACCCGCGGGGGUACAGAAGGGGGUCACCGCGUUCGCCCGGAUUUACGCGACAUGCUCCCCGCUUAGGCGGCCCCUCAGGCCAUUGGUGAGACCCCCAACCUUAGCUGGGUACUCGCAUUCGAGACUGGUUGCCUAGAGUGUGGCACAGGAUGGUACAAUUCGGCGUGUACGGGAGAAAUGCGUCGAUAACGGCAGGAACUACCGAGGGUAAAGGACCCUGUCUGCUCCAAAUGCUGACGCUGAGCUGCGACAGUGUGGGGACCAAAUGGGGAUUAUCUCCCUCGGUAUUCCUCGCGAUAACCGAUGUUCUACAACGCUGUGGGGGGCUAUUGCAGCCUUUCGUGCCCCAGCUUCGGGCGAAAAGUAAACCGACUGGGGUACCACGGUCCGCAGGACGGAGAACUCCAAAUGAAGUUGAAGGGGGCCCGCCAAAGGCGGUGUAGCAUGCGGUUUAACUCGAAUGCAGCGUGGAACCAUCUUUACUUGCCCUUGACUUAGGAACAAACUUUUCCAGAAGUUGGAUUGCUUGCUUUCGGGGAUUCUACUUACGGGUGGCUGAAAAGACAUGACGACCCCCCCCCGGCCAGGGAAAGGGUUGGGUUAAAACUCCCG
rnacentral:rRNA from 1 species